AUACGGGGGGCGCAAGCGUUAAUCGGAAUUACUGGGCGUAAAGCGCGCGUAGGCGGUUUGCUCAGUCGGAUGUGAAAGCCCAGGGCUCAACCUUGGAACUGCAUACGAUACUGGCAAACUAGAGUGUGAGAGAGGAUAGUGGAAUUUCCGGUGUAGCGGUGAAAUGCGUAGAUAUCGGAAGGAACAUCAGUGGCGAAGGCGACUGUCUGGCUCAACACUGACGCUGAGGUGCGAUAGCGUGGGUAGCAAACAGGAUUAGAAACCCUUGUAGUCC
rnacentral:rRNA from 1 species